rnacentral:lncRNA from 1 species
AGAAAUUCCUCUAAAGUGAAACUUCACCAUAUCCCUCGCAUCCAACUACCAGUAGGUAAAGCAUCUCCCAAGACCUCUUACUUUACACUUUUCAUAUAUUCCAUCUACCACUCCAGUCGAUUCAUUAACGUUAUUUCUAAUCUAUCCGUGAUCCAUCCCUCUUUUAAACGUGGUGGUCGAUCGUGUACUGUAAAUUCCUAGGCUCUGCAAAAAUUCGGUAAGAAUAUUGUUCCAAUAAAUAGCUCUUUUAUAGAGCUCAAUAUCAUUCAAAAGCAAGCUAACCGGAGUUUCUUCGCCCCCAAGUUCAUGAACAAUUGAAUGAACGAGUCGUUCAAGAGGAUUCAAGCCCUGUGUAAGUAUCUGCUUCUUUGCAUAUUCACAGCCAUUCUAAUCUAUAUGUUUAUUUUUCGAGAUUUUGGAUUUUCCUUUAAAUAGUGAAACAGUUACAGAGUUCUGAUCAGGUAAAUCAUUGUCUUCAUCGUUGUUUUAAGAAAUUAUUUUCGCUUAAGAACUUGGAUCAUGUUGCUACAUUUUUAUAUUAAAAUACACUAUUAAGUCGGACUUCUUUUUUUGCUUUACUUGUAGAAACUUAGUUUGACUUCUUCUAAAAGCUCUUCUAGGUCAAACCAGCCCAGCCAAGCCAAACGCCUUUAGAAAAUUAUCUAAAUAAAUUCAAAAACAAUUCCUUUAUCUUCACAAAGCUCGUUUUUCUACUUUUCAAAAGCCUUACCACAAACAUUGCCUGUAUCUAUUCAACAUUUUAUAUAUUACUUUAAAUAUAUCUUUAAGAAGUGCUUAUAAACUGUUUAAAUAUAAAUAGAUAAAACAAGUGAUUGAUAAGUAUGUAGUACUCGUAAAUCUCUCGAAAUAUACGAAUAAAAAGUAACUCGAGUGUUUAUAAGCAUAAGCCAAACAUAGGCUAAAUCAUGAAUGUCUCCCCAUGCAUAGUCUCCCCCAUGUACUUUCUAUAUACACACAGCAAUACAUUAUUGAAGAAAGAGAUUCUGUUUCAAUCUUUAGAAGAUCAGGAUACGGUCAUUCUCCCAUAAAGUUACUUACAACAAGUAUAUCUUGCCCUGUCAGCCGGCCCAUCUCACCAGGACCGGAAUAGAUUUUCUAUUUUUUUUUUUCCUUAAAUAAAGGCCCAGGAGCGAAUGUCCAGGCCCCGAAGAGCCCACUUAGAGGGAUUCCGGACCGGGUCCAGAGCCAAGUCAAGUUGGCUAGCUCUUGGCCAGGACAGCUUAACCCCAAAGAUGUUGAAAGCGGAACAACUCUGAAACAUCUUGUUGGACCGAAAGGCGACGCAAAAAUUGAGAUUUAAUAGUGUAAUAUAAAAUAUGUAAGAUCAUAACCAAUAGAAUAAGUUAAAGUAAAGAAACAAAAAGGCGAGUUAAGCAGAGGAACUGAUACCUUAUUCAAUAACAAUAUGGAGAGAAUACAACAAAAACAAUAAAGCUUUUCAAAUCUAGAAAAAGAAUCUAGGGCUUGUUUGAGCCACAUUAUAAGGAAAAAAUGCAUUAUUGAUGUCAAAUUAAUUAGAAAUGUGUGGUUAAAAAUAAGAAAAAGUUUUAAAUUUGUGUGUAAUAUUAUUUUAUUGAAAAUUGUGUGAUUGAAAUGAUGUCAAAUCACUGUUGAAGAAUGCAUUUUUUUUGAAAAUAAUGUGGCUCAAACAGGGGCCUAAUAUUUAUAGGAAAAAAUCCACACCUAGAAGUAGAGUUGUAGAUAAAAAAAAAAACGCCAAAAGCUUCCUUAUUUGAUCUCAUCAAGUCCAACACAAAUUCCACUAUCGAAUAGGCUUUCAAAUAGAAUAAAUAGAACUUGUCAAUUAAACUUGAAUAUGAUUCCUCAAAUAGCAUUCCAAUUAAAAUUCCAUUUGAUGUGCACUUCAAUUAGAACUCCACAAUUAUUUCAACAAGGGAUUCGAGUCAUACCCAAAUUCUAACAAUGCUCAUCCCAUUCUACAUAAUUCUGCUCAUCUAAGUUGCUCUUUACUAUCAGUGUAGCUUUUCUUCAUGUAGUUUCAUUUCCUUUUGAUUGUAUUGAAAGAUUCAAAACCAAAAGAACAUCCGAAUAACUGGAAGAACGUACAAAUUUCCAACAAUUCUAGCUAUACCAUUGAAGGUUAUGGUUCAUGAAAAACGAAUAAAUUGGUACACAUUAUUGGACAAGAGAAUAAGAGAAGUUCGUUUCUUUCUUAAUAUUGUCCAGUUGUAUCCAAUAUUGCACACCAUAAUUCAGCAAUAUGAAAGAAAAGGAGAGUAAUAAACUAUGUAAACAGAAUGAGAAGAUUAUGAUGAACAAAAUAGAAUUUACAAACAAGAAACCAAAACUCCAAGAUUCAUUUGCAAUUAUUACUUAAUUUAUCAAAUUGUUCUUAUUCUCAUUACAAAUCUAGUGAACACUAUGGUCUAAAUAAACAAACUCUACAAACAAUAUGGUUUGAAGCACAGGUAAACGCAUGUUUAUACUGCAACAAGAGAAAAAAUGAAGUCAAGUUGCCAACAAUUGAAGUAAGAAGGGGCUUUGCUUACAAAUUUGGGCCCUGGAAUCCGUGCAAACAUGCAAAGUUACAUUGCCCACGUCUAUAAAUUCUUCAAUUUGCUCUGAUUUUCCAGAUUGAAUUGAUGUGCUUCACAAAUUGAUCAGUAGAAAUUCUUAAAAACAUACGAAGUAAAAUGCAACAGAUGACAACAAUGUGACUGCUAGCACAAGCAAGGAGACGUCUGGGCGGGAUCCAGCAUUUGGUAGAUAUGGAUAUUCAUCGGGAGGUGGCAUGACACAGUUGUCACCAUUGAAAUAGACUCUACGAGGAAAGGCCCAACCUUUCUCAAAAGUGAAAGUAGAUUUGUCCUUUUGGAAUAGAAGCUCCGAUUGCACAUUUCCUAGAGGGCCGGCUUGCAUGAGCAAAUCGUUGUAAAAUUUAAUACCCCAUAACAUUGCCGUGUCAUCUGUUUAAGCGGAAAACAAUAAGUUAAAAUUGAUGUUUAUUCCCAAGCUCUCUGUCAACUAGUGGAUAAAAAGAAGAUAAUGGUCAUAUACACUGGUGGUCAUUAAACUUCUAGCGAAAUUUCACGUAGUUCUCUAAAUUCAUUUUCUUUCAAGUUGGUCAUUGAACUUAAAUUGUGUUACAAUUAGCUCACGCCAGUCUCCAUCAAUAUUUGUUAGUUUGACCAAUGGAAAAGGUAAAAUGAGAGUCUUAGAUGUCUCCCAAUUAGGCCAACUAGUCCGUGCUGUCAGCUUUUCAUUAGUCAAACUAACUGAAAUGGGAAGAAUGAUCAAAUUGUAAACUUUGCCAUUCAGUGAUCAAGCAACCAACUUUGAACUAAAUGAAGUUUUGCAACCAAUAUGAAAAUUUAGCCAAAAAGUUCAGUGAUGACCAGUGCAUUUUACCUGGGAAAAAACAUUCUGCAAAUGUAAAUCUGACUUACUUAUAUCUUGAUAAGGAGUUAAUGGCUUGUAGUAGAAGCUGAAUAACUGAGUUAGAUUGUCGAAAUUAGGAUGUUGCACAACCAAGUUCCACUGUGUAUAAUUCAUCCUGUAAUUGAAGUUUGUGAUUGUAACCUUCACCCGCCAGUAGUCCUUGUAGUUUAAUUUGACAUGCCAGUGGACUCGAAUGGGGCACAUAUGGCUGGUGCAUUGGACUAAAGGUGCAUAAUUAUUCUUCCCAUUGUCUGGAACAACUGAAGCAAGGUGCGGUGCGUCGGGACUGCAAUGAGUAAACGCAUAAGGACCCGCAAAAAAGUAAACAAAUAAAGCUAAAGAAGAUUGAAAGUUGAAAGGCUUACUUCACACAACUUCCUGGCUGAGUGCCAUUAUUUUGGCAUCCACAAGUGCAUGUUGGGCAUGGAACAAUAGUAUCGUUGUAGAAGGAUGAGAGUGAGACACAGCAAGUAGGAGUUUUUUGGGCCAGAAACUGUGAAUAUGUGCACGUAACAUUCCACGUCACUGCAAUAGGAAAAGGUUGAGAAGGAAAGCAAGGGUUUUCAUGUGUAAAACAAAAAUAAAUAGGGACAAAUUUUUGACACCUUAUAUGGUAUUGGGACUGCAGAAAUAGAUUAUAUGCAAGACAGAACAGGUAGCAAUUUUAAAUGAGAAUAUUUUCCAUAUUAUUUAUUUUUAAUUGACAAAAACAUAAAGUUUUUGAUUUACACUAAAUCAUAGUUGUAAGCUCAUUGACAACAUAAUUUUGCCGCCUCCACCUUUGAAGAUCACAAAAUCAACAAUAUUUGCAACUAUAGUGUUGAACUACCUCAUUUAAAAGUUUAAGAUAAUAGAGAGGAGACAAAUUUAUUUAUUUAUAAAUGUCUUCAACGGCCUCAUCACAUGCAGAUUAGAUUCAUUUCUCAUCAAAGGCAUGACAAGUGGAAUUUUCAUAAACGGGAGAGCAUACCAUAUUUAGCCACCCCAUUUAAAUGUUUAAGCCGAUAAAGAGAGGAUGAAUUCAUUUAUUUAUAUUUUAUCUUACACCAAUAGAGUCUCUAAAUUUGUACUAAAUAACUUACUCAUUGCUUGUGUCUGUCUUCUCCCGUCUUGGGACAUAAACUUGGUAGGUUUCCCUACUUUAGCAGGUCCACAAGUAUAGCCCGGCCCUGGUGCUUUCAAUGUGAAGUUCUUUGGCACUCUAACAGUUUUGUUGGUGGUUCCAGCCGCACCAACACUAACCUGGAAAGAGCUUGCAAAAUUGGAUGGAUCUUGCACCCAUGAAUUAAUUACCCC